rnacentral:rRNA from 1 species
UACAGAGGGGGCAAGCGUUGUUCGGAAUUACUGGGCGUAAAGGGCGCGUAGGCGGCCAACUCAGUCGGACGUGAAAUCCCCUGGCUCAACCAGGGAACUGCGUCCGAUACUGGCUGGCUUGAAUCCGGGAGAGGGAUGUGGAAUUCCAGGUGUAGCGGUGAAAUGCGUAGAUAUCUGGAGGAACACCGGUGGCGAAGGCAGCUCGCUGGGACGGUACUGACGCUGAGACGCGAAAGCGUGGGGAGCAAACAGG